rnacentral:rRNA from 1 species
AAAUUGAAGAGUUUGAUCAUGGCUCAGAUUGAACGCUGGCGGCAGGCCUAACACAUGCAAGUCGAACGGUAACAGGAAGCAGCUUGCUGCUUCGCUGACGAGUGGCGGACGGGUGAGUAAUGUCUGGGAAACUGCCUGAUGGAGGGGGAUAACUACUGGAAACGGUGGCUAAUACCGCAUAACGUCGCAAGACCAAAGAGGGGGACCUUCGGGCCUCUUGCCAUCGGAUGUGCCCAGAUGGGAUUAGCUAGUUGGUGAGGUAACGGCUCACCAAGGCGACGAUCCCUAGCUGGUCUGAGAGGAUGACCAGCCACACUGGAACUGAGACACGGUCCAGACUCCUACGGGAGGCAGCAGUGGGGAAUAUUGCACAAUGGGCGCAAGCCUGAUGCAGCCAUGCCGCGUGUAUGAAGAAGGCCUU